UGAGGAACAUGACCUUCGGCGGAGGAUAGCCGGCCCAACGGCCGGGUAAUACCGCGUACGACCACUUUGGGACAUCCCUCGGUGGUGAAAGCAGCAAUGCGCCGAUGGAGUGCCUCGCGGCCUAUCAGCUAGUUGGUGAGGUAACGGCUCACCAAGGCGACGACGGGUAGCUGGUCUGAGAGGAUGGCCAGCCACAUUGGGACUGAGACACGGCCCAGACUCCCGUAGGGACGG
rnacentral:rRNA from 1 species